CGAGGUUGUUGACAGGCCGCGCUGCACCGCCGUGGCCAUGCUCGCACGGUGACGGUGAUCUCCUCCACAAGUGCGCACCUAAAAUAUUUGCACUUACCCACCUAAAAUGGAUCGCGGUCAUUAAUCGCGAUCCAAAAUGAUACACUUAGCCCCCUACCUCCUGGAUUUUGCAAAUUAGACCAAAACGUGAUCCAGCAGAGGCGCCACGAGGAAAGCCUCGUCGCCGGCGGAAGGAGAUUCAGGCCUGUGCCAACCGGUAGUCAGCUGGCAAUUCGACGUAGAGGAGUCGGAGGAGCUCCGAAAAAUUGUGGAUCUGCCGAAGCGCCUAGCCUACCUCGACGAGUGCUUUGCGGAUGAUUAGGGAUCGACGAGGAGGUGCCGAGGGAGGUAUUGAGUGGGGUUCGACGAGGAUGUACGGAGUGCAGGCGGGCGGGCGUCUCCCGGGUACACCGCUGUACGUUGCUGUUGAAGAGGGAGGAGAAGUCAUUUAGGAUCAAGAGGAUUGCUUGUCCGCAGCCACGGCGGCGGCCAGAUGCGGGUGGCGCGUGGCGGCCCGUCAAGGUGAUCGAAGGCUGAAGCCGGCAACUGCGCCGGACCUCCUGGAGAGAUGGUGUACCAGUCGAACAGCGUUCGUCCUAUCAGCAUUGUUUCUCGUCUUCUCGACCUGGACAUCAGAUCGAACCCAACACUGCAGCUCAUCUACAAGCUGCUCGCCAGGGCACCAGUUCACUUGGGAUGAGAAGUUCUGUCAGAUUUUCAAGCUAAUACGAGCUGAAAUGGAGGGAAACCAAUGCACCAUGCCUCCAAAGCAUUCAAUUUCAAAGAGAAAAACGUGAUCUUCUGAAAAGUUCAUCGGUUAAGAUGAAAUAGUGCUCCACUUGAACAGCGUUCGUGCUAUCAGCAUCAUUUCUCGUCUUGGGCAUCAGAGCCACCAUAGUUGAAUGCUACAAGCAGGACAACAGUUCAUUUGGAUACGAAGCUCUAUGAGGUGAUCAAGGCUGCAAUGGAAAAAAAACAAAGGCAAACGCGCACGGUUUUGGUGGAUAACAUCCAUGAGACGUACGUGCAGAGCAGGACAAUGGGCUAGGCUGGCUGGCACGCGUCUGUAGGCUAGUAAAUUCCACCCUUGUGCUUGUGCCGUGCAUGAUCUUUGCCUAGAUUUGUGCCAUGAGAUUUGUACUGCGCGA